AGUCGAGCGGUAGCACAAGAGAGCUUGCUCUCUGGGUGACGAGCGGCGSACGGGUGAGUAAUGUCUGGGAAACUGCCUGAUGGAGGGGGAUAACUACUGGAAACGGUAGCUAAUACCGCAUGAUGUCUUCGGACCAAAGUGGGGGACCUUCGGGCCUCACGCCAUCAGAUGUGCCCAGAUGGGAUUAGCUAGUAGGUGGGGUAAUGGCUCACCUAGGCGACGAUCUCUAGCUGGUCUGAGAGGAUGACCAGCCACACUGGAACUGAGACACGGUCCAGACUCCUACGGGAGGCAGCAGUGGGGAAUAUUGCACAAUGGGCGCAAGCCUGAUGCAGCCAUGCCGCGUGUAUGAAGAAGGCCUUCGGGUUGUAAAGUACUUUCAGCGAGGAGGAAGGCAUUGUGGUUAAUAACCRCAGUGAUUGACGUUACUCGCAGAAGAAGCACCGGCUAACUCCGUGCCAGCAGCCGCGGUAAUACGGAGGGUGCAAGCGUUAAUCGGAAUUACUGGGCGUAAAGCGCACGCAGGCGGUUGRUUAAGUCAGAUGUGAAAUCCCCGAGCUUAACUUGGGAACUGCAUUUGAAACUGGUCAGCUAGAGUCUUGUAGAGGG
rnacentral:rRNA from 1 species